AUGGCACAGCGUUAUGUGUGUCCGGUAGCUCUCGUUCAGGUCUCGUUGGAGGGUGUUCUUUCCACAGCUGCGGUUUUAAUAGAAGGACGCGCGCAGAGAGAGCGCACUCCGGGGUUACCGUGGAGGAGAAAUGAUCUGCGCCUUAAUUCCGGCCCGGCAAACUCGACGUCCGGCUGCACUGUUCAUACUCGCAGGUGCUUGUGUCCUUUUUUACAACCUGCGGAGCCUGCCCACUGCAGCUCGUCCUGGGCACUGCAGCUGUGCGGAGGAAACUGGGGCUCUGAAGAGCAGGCAGAAUUAAACACCCGGCUGGCACUGGCACCGAUUAAGGCUCCUAAUUCAUGACAUCUUUAUUAAACAUUUCCCAGUGACUGAGACACCUGUGUUUAGCAGUUCAUCUCUGCUCUCUUUAAACAUAAAGAAGGUUGAGAUUAGGCACUGAAAUGAAAUCAUUCUUGCACUGUUUGGGGACGAGCUGUCAGUGGUGUGGUCACUCUGCCCUUAUUGGAGGUGUAGGCAGUGUGCAUGGCAUGGCCUGUUCUUGUUUGUGACUGUUCUGAAGUACACACACAACUGCCCACGCCACGUAAGCCUUCCAUAAGGGCAGCAUGAGAGUAGUUUCCACUCUUGUCCUUUGGUUCCUGUUCCAGACUUAAAACCGUCUCUUGGAAGGUCUGUUGUUAAGGAGAGUCCAACAUGCUGUCUGCUGUCCGCCAGUCUUUGAUUCUUUUGCUCAGUUUCUUUGUCACUGACAUAGAAAACCAGGCUUUGACAAUCAUACUGGAUCCUGCAGAUUCAGGUUCAGGACCUGGAUGAUUGUUCUACUUCGAUGCCUCUGCAGGCUUACUGAUAAUUCACAUAGUUCAGUCAAGCCCUAACAAAGGCAGAGAAGAGGUGCAAUUUGAACACCUGGCUGAAGAGAAUGCUAAUCGUCUAAAAGUGGGAGGGGAGCAUGUCAAAACCUCCCUCUCCGCUAAGGAGGGAACACCCAGGGGAGCAGAUACAAGGGGUGAAGAUGAGGCAGAGGGAGGGAGGAAAAAAUGACACCCAGAACUGAGUCAGGAGGAAGCAUGACAUUUAUAUGUACAGUAGGCAGGUGGAAGUGGGCGAGAUUAGGGUUUGACCUCCCAAACAUGAACUCCAUUUGGUGUCAUGGUGCCUGUGGGUUGUAGCAGGUGUCCAGUCCGAGAGCUGUCCCCUCUGGGCUGAUGUGUUACCUGCCCACUGAAUGAAAAAGUCAAUAAAUAUCAGUUUUUUCC
rnacentral:lncRNA from 1 species